AACCAGCACCUCAAGUGGUCAGGAUGAUUAUUGGGCCUAAAGCAUCCGUAGCCGGCUCUGUAAGUUUUCGGUUAAAUCCAUAAGCUCAACUUAUGGGCUGCCGAAAAUACUGCAGAACUAGGGAGUGGGAGAGGUAGACGGUACUCGGUAGGAAGGGGUAAAAUCCUUUGAUCUAUUGAUGACCACCUGUGGCGAAGGCGGUCUACCAGAACACGUUCGACGGUGAGGGAUGAAAGCUGGGGGAGCAAACCGG
rnacentral:rRNA from 1 species